CAAAGCUUCAUUAUUUUUUUCUUUAAUACCACAAAUUAUUUAGAACCCUUCAUCAUUAUUGAGAACUUCUAUAUCCCUAUAGAAUAUUUUAUGUUAAAACUAGUAACAAGAAGUAGCACUUCACUUAAAUGUAAGUGUAAAUCAGAAAGGACUCACCACUGACUAUUAACAUUUAUGAAAAUACAUUAGCAACUCCACAAGAAAAACCUAAUUGUAACCAUGUUAACCUAACACCAGAGCAUUUCAAGUAAGAUUAAAAGAAAAAGAAGGAACUCGGCAAAUAUUAACCUCGCCUGUUUACCAAAAACAUCGCCUCUUGAUUAAAUAUAAGAGGUCCAGCCUGCCCAGUGACUCUGUUCAACGGCCGCGGUAUC
rnacentral:rRNA from 1 species